AUACUGUUGUUCUUGAGUUCGGCUGAGGUAGGCGGAAUGAGUAAUGUAGCGGUGAAAUGCUUAGAUAUUACUCAGAACACCGAUUGCGUAGGCAGCUUACCAAACCGACACUGACGCUGAGGCACGAAAGCGUGGGGAGCGAACAGGAUUAGAUACCCUGGUAGUCCACGCCGUAAACGUUGAUUACUCGUUGUUGGCAAUACAUCGUCAGCGACUGAGCGAAAGCAUUAAGUAAUCCACCUGGGGAGUACGUCAGCAAUGAUGAAACUCAAAGGAAUUGACGGGGGCCCGCACAAGCGGAGGAACAUGUGGUUUAAUUCGAUGAUACGCGAGGAACCCUACCUGGGCUUAAAUGUAGAGUGCAUAGAGUGGAAACAUUCUUUUCCUUCGGGACUCUUUACAAGGUGCUGCAUGGUUGUCGUCAGCUCGUGCCGUGAGGUGUCGGGUUAAGUCCCAUAACGAGCGCAACCCUCAUCGCCAGUUGCCAUCACAUCAUGGUGGGGACUCUGGUGAAACUGCCGGUGCAAACCGUGAGGAAGGUGAGGAUGACGUCAAAUCAGCACGGCCCUUAUGUCCAGGGCUACACACGUGUUACAAUGGUCGGUACAACGGGCAGCUACACAGCGAUGUGGUGCUAAUCCUAAAAACCGAUCUUAGUUCGGAUCGUAGUCUGCAACUCGACUCCGUGAAGCUGGAUUC
rnacentral:rRNA from 1 species